GCUCCGCCGGCCGGAGCCGCCGCCGCCGCCGCGGGGUCCCGCUGAGGGAUCCGCUGAGGGAUCCGCUGCCGCCCCGGCCCGCUGGAUGCCACCCGCCGCUCCUCCGGCUCCCCGUUCCGCCUGCCUCUUUUCGGCUCCUCUGUGCCUUUUUAUCCGCUGCAAAUCGUCCGGGGGCUUCACCGCCGCGCGCCUUCCCGCAGCGGGCUCCAUCCCGAGCACCGGGAAGCGCCCGGGAGGUCCCGGCCGGAGGAGGAUGCGGCACCUCCGGGUGAGCCUUUGGAUGGGGGGGAAAAAGGGAGGGUGACCCCCAAAAUCUCCCCCGUCUGUCCCUUUCCGAGCCAGCCCUGCUCUUCCAGCAUUUCUUUGGAGCAUUUGAUUCUAAUUAUCCGCGGAAUUCAGCCUUCUAAUUGCGACUGGGGGGUGGGAGGGGAAUAAAAGCAGCUCCCCGAAUUCAAGUUUUAUCUGCUACUUACCCCCGGAAAAACAGAGAGUCACAGGGGGAAAAAUAAGAAAUUGGGCUUCAAGCAUUCCAGCGUUUAAAAAGUACCAGGAAUAUGGUGGUUUUUGUUUAAUUACUGUGAUGUGUAAUAAAUAAACCGUAUGCUUUGAAUUUAAA